UCCCAAGCCACAGCAAGUGAGAAUCCACUCAGACACAACAGCAGUAGGCACAGAAAUAAGGGGAAAAAAAGCUGCUUACCUUUGGAAGACCUGUAAGAUCUUCAUGUAGGCAGAGACCUCCAGGUAAACUAUGUUUACCUCCACUGCCAACCCUUAAAUUAGGUCUGGGAAGGAGGGGAUCCUGGCUCCACCCUUUCCUGUUGCUCAGGUGCACUGCAUGCAGCUGAGCUCCCCUGGGUUGGCCCUGCCUUCCCACCAGGUGCUCCAUCACUGGUUCAAGCCAUGUCUUAACAUUUCCACUACACUCCUUAAGUGCCUGUGAAACUGAAGAGUUCAGAUCCUCUUUGUGCUGCUUCCAGCACAGGCCCUGCAGCCCCUUCUCCAGCAGCUGCACCGAUGUGGCUGGAUCCUGCUGUUUUUGCAAUGCUCUGUGCCAAGCUGAUGGUGGAAGGACAAGUGGCACAUUUACUCUAUAGUUUCCCUUUUGCAUGCCGGUGCAGGGGCUUACUUCUCAUCCUGAGGCCUUUCCUCUGUUGGAUCUACUCCAGUUUUGUGCAAUGUUGGCGCUGCCAUGUGCACUGCAGACAUGUUGGAGCAUAGGCUUCGAGAUUGCUUUGUGCGCUAGUUUGGAGUCCUCUGCCAUCACCUUCAGCAUGUUUCAGGCCACAGGAAGCCGCUGAUCUCCCCGGGUGUCUUGCUGCAAGGAGCCUUCCAGAUGCAAGUUAUUCUUGGAGAUCUUCUCCGUGCAGCUUGGAGCGUUUCAGCGCGAUUUCAACGUGUUUCUGACAGCAGUGUUCAGUAUCUCACUGCCUCUCUCACAAUGGAGGCGGGUGUGGGUGCUGCUGCCCCGCAGCGCAUGCUGCUUCUGCUCCUCCUGCACACGCUGCUGGUGCCCAAGUGCAGCGCCCAUGGGCUGGAUCUCUGCCUUCCCCGAGCACUGACCUCCUUGGCAUGGUCUGGUGGUGGGCAGGGAGAGAAUGGCUGUGGGUUUCCCAUGCAAAUACAAGUACAAGCAAAUACAUGGUUUUCAGAAGCAAUUGCUGUUUACUCUAGCUUCACAGGAAGAAAAUCUGGUCAAAAUGCUGAAGAACACAGACCACUGUUUGCUGUGGAAACCAGCAGCUCACACGGACUAAGGAUCACCCAGCUGAGGCCAGCAGUGGGCACUGAGGCCGUAUUACAUCCUGACAUUUUCCGAGGGCAAAAUAAACAAAAAAAUGCUCAGCCUUUCACUGCAGCCCAAGCAGAACGUGUGCUGCUCCUAAAGUUGAAGAACGGCGGUCACUCUAGUGCAGGGAAAGCUCUUAAGAGCUAGUCACUCGGGAAAUAAACCUAAAAGUCAGGCUAACCA
rnacentral:lncRNA from 1 species